UAUUUGACGAAGGAAUAAAACUAUAUGUAGAUACAUGGCUUGUGGCAGCUAAGCGUUCAUAGCGACGCUGUGUUUGAUCCUUCAAUGUCAGUUAUUCCUAUCAUUCUGAAGCAGUAUUCAGUGAGCACUGGACUGUUCACCUACUAACAGAGAACGUGGGCUGGGUUUAGACCGUCGUGAGACAGGUUAGUUUUACCCUGUUAAUGAAAUGUUGUUGCAAUAGUAAAUAACUUUGAACAAGAGGAACCGUCCAUUCGCAUAAUUGGUAUUUAGGCCGUCUGAGCAGGUAAUAACUUAAAGCUAUCAUCCGUUGGGUUUUAACUGAACGGUCUGUGGAGCGUGACGGAGUGCAGAAAAGGGACAUCAAGAAAGCAAUAGAGUGCGAAAUAUGUUUAAUUUUGGAAAAUGGCUUGUAGCAGCCAUACGUCCAUUCCUUAAGUCAAGGUCUCUCACAAUCGCAAAUAGUUCGGCAAGCAUCACCAGUGUGCAUCGUUUCGUGAAGACACCGAAGAAAACAAAGGAGAUUGAUUGUAUGUGUUGGAUUGGCGAGGCUUGUCGGAAUAACUAUAGCCAUAUGCAUUCAUGCGGUCUCUCGAGGCUCCCCAAUUU
rnacentral:ncRNA from 1 species